CUCUAAUUAGCUUAUAAAAGUUCAUGACUCUUAAUCAUGCGGAAAACGCUAAGAACAGCGUUAUUAGGGA
rnacentral:tRNA from 1 species